UGGGAAAACAACGUGAAUCCCUCAGUGGUCUCAGAAGGAGUAAAGCACAUGUGAUCUAAGAGUUAACAUCCCUCACAAGGAUCCAAAGUCGUGCAAAUGGUUAAAAUUGGUUCCCUAAUCUUUGUUUUAAGAGGAGGAAAAGGGAAUGGUAUUUUUGGGAAAAUGCUAAAAGUUUCAAAGUGUUAGCACGGAGAAUGGGAGAAUGAUGUCUGUGUUAUUCAAAAGUCGCCUACGGGAAUCAUUCCUUACUACACUGUUUUUCUCACCAAAAGAAAUGACUUUGAAAUCUGUGCUGCUCUGACAGAGCCUGGGAAGGCAAAAACUCAGCCUUCAACGGCUCCUUCCACUCCGGGCUGCCAUCCUCGGUGGGCACUCAUUAGAAGCAUGAACGCGAUCAUCACGGGGACUUCAAACAUACCUGCUCACGGUGGUUUGGUUUUCAUUAUGUGCCGCAGGCACUUUCUCUAACCCUCAAUGUAAAUUAUUUAUGUGUUUAAAAGGAUCACUUCCUUCUCAC
rnacentral:lncRNA from 1 species